rnacentral:rRNA from 1 species
AAAAGAAACUAACAAGGAUUCCCCUAGUAACUGCGAGUGAAGCGGGAAAAGCUCAAAUUUAAAAUCUGGCGGCCUUCGGUCGUCCGAGUUGUAGUCUGGAGAAGCGUCUUCCGCGCUGGACCGUGUACAAGUCUCUUGGAACAGAGCGUCGUAGAGGGUGAGAAUCCCGUCUUUGACACGGACUACCAGUGCUUUGUGAUGCGCUCUCAAAGAGUCGAGUUGUUUGGGAAUGCAGCUCAAAAUGGGUGGUAAAUUCCAUCUAAAGCUAAAUAUUGGCGAGAGACCGAUAGCGAACAAGUACCGUGAGGGAAAGAUGAAAAGCACUUUGGAAAGAGAGUUAAACAGUACGUGAAAUUGCUGAAAGGGAAACGCUUGAAGUCAGUCGCGUCGUCCAGAACUCAACCUGGCUUUUGCUUGGUGCACUUUCUGGUUGACGGGCCAGCAUCAGUUUUGACCGUCGGACAAAGUCCUUUGGAAUGUGGCACCUUCGGGUGUGUUAUAGCCUUGGGUCGUAUACGAUGGUUGGGAUUGAGGACCGCAGCACGCCAUUUGGCCGGGGUUCGCCCACGUACGUGCUUAGGAUGCUGGCGUAAUGGCUUUAAACGACCCGUCUUGAAACACGGACCAAGGAGUCUAACAUA